rnacentral:lncRNA from 1 species
ACUGUCUUCUCUAUGGUUAAAUUAAAGUUCAGCGUCUCCACUUGCCUCUCCUCUCAUUUCUUUCGGAAAGCGGAAACCAGACGACCCAGCGGCCAUGGGACGAGCCGCCCCAACUCAACCCCAGCAGGACGCUGGAGGGGCCUCCCUCCCCCGCCUCUCUUCGCCGGCGCUGGCCUCCCGCACCCGGGUCUGCAGUCCCUCCGCCAUCUCGCAGGUGUGCGGCCGCUAGGCCUGGGGGAUCCGAAUGACUGGGGCUGGAUAGGAAUGCCUUCGUGUUUCCCAAGACCCCUGGGCCUGCUCCACAAAGUUUGAAGGGUGGGUACACACCAACCCAGGCAAGUUGCUCCCCCAAACCCAUGACUGACUAAUCUGAUAUGACAAAAGCCCAUGAUGGAUUUGGUAUAUGUUAAUUCACAAUGCCCUUUCCUCCAGAAUUUAACUAUAAGUUAAUACACACCGGAAACCACGCGCAUACACGCUCCUUAAUGGGCUUAGGUAUUAGCGAGUCCUAACGAUGCAUACAAAUGUGCUCUGCGCUCUGUAGAACCCUCAAGAUUUAUGUGCCUUGAGCUCUCUGAAGCUGUAAACAAGGAGAAAAAAAAAAAGAGAAAGCGAAAGCGACUGGGGGGAAGAGACAGAGGCCUGACUCGCCCCUCCAGGUUGUGGAGAGAAGGGAUUCUUUAUGUAUUUUCCUUUCCUUGCAAGCUCGGUGCGUGUGGGUUUUGGCGUUGGUCUGGGGGUGGUGUUCUGCCUGAAUGCUGGUGUGCGUGGGCAGUGUGUUGUUUGAGUGCUGCGGUAGGAUGCCUGCCUCUUCGGAUUGCUGUGCAGGGGCCUGAACACAGCAGGCAUUUGUGAGCAUAUAUGCAUGAGUGUGCACUGUGUUAGGGUGUGUGUGUGUGUAUGUGCGUGUGAGAAAGAGAGAGAGACAGAGAGGGAGAGGCAGGCUUCCCCCUGGGCCAGGCUGCUGUCCCCUGAACAGUGGUGAACAAAUCUCUAACAACAAUCAUAAUAACAAUAAAUAAUGAAUAAUAAUAAUAAAACAGUAGUUAACAGUCCCUCCAUAACAGAAUAACAAUAAAAUGCAAGAGGAAAUAUUUUGAGGUGGAGACAGAAGGAGUCAGGAUCACAGCAUCUGAGGGGGAGAUAGGAAAGGAAGGGAGGAAGAAAUCUUAAUAUGCUCUUGGUGGGGCUGGGGUUGGGAACCCCUUUCCCAGACAAGGGACGGAAGAGGGGAAGGAGAGCCAGAGACCACUCUUUAUUGCUUUUUUUCUCAGGCUUCUGCUUUGUGUGAUCAGAGAAGGGAUCCCACAUAUGGGAAUGGUUAGUGGCUUUUGGGACUCUCCAGGAGCCUCUGUUUUAAGAAUGAGGCCAAAUGUGCAGGCUCAGGCCAAGCGGCAGAGAUGAAUGAGGUGAUGACCACAGCCUUGAUCCGGCAGGAGCUCAGAGAUGCCCGGGAAGACGGGGGGCCCGAACGGAAGCAGAAAAACACUUAUGGCCGCUGGGAAGUUGGGAGAGCGAGGCUGGGGCUCUGGCAGGCCCAGGGAAAGUUCCCUGUCUAGGCUCUUUAUUAAAAAAUUUAAAAGGAGGAGUUGAGGCACCUUGAAUAUUCCUUCGCGAGUUUGGAGACUAGCCGAUUUUUCAUGAAGCAAGCAAAGACCGCGGUCCCGGAUCCUGCAACUUCUACCUCAUUUUCUCCAGGCCUCUCCACUUGCCCGAGCUCUCAGCCACCAGGAGACAGACGGAAGGGGCUUCUGGAUUGCGUUGGGAGCGGGCACUGUCCCCUACCCACUCCUGCUCAGUUUCCCAAAGUCCAGCGACUUCCGACCCUCCUUGGGGGGAAAAAUACCAGUACCCAGACACCUUUGCACCCUGUUAUAUGACUGGGCUUGCUUCAGGAAUAUCUUACAAAGAAGAAGAAGAAGAAAGAACGGCUUGGAGUCAUGUUUACAUCUAGUUCUACUGAUCCGUUCACAUCUGGAGAGUUUAUUUAUAACUCCCUCUAUAACUCUCUGUUUGGAGACACUGUGGCUCUAUUGACAGACUGAUAUCUAGGAAAUAUUGCUCUAUGUCUAACCGUACCUAAAUGUGCUGUGGUUGUAUUUACAGAUUUAUGUUUGAGGGAAAUAUAACUAUUUCCAUUGUAUUUGUGCAUAUACAGUAGUUAUAGGAGCAGAUUUAUAUAUGGGAAAAUAUACGACUCUCUUACAGCCAUCCAGCUUUAUGUACAUUUGAUAUCCUGACAGAUUUAUAUCUCUGAACAGCUAUAUAGAUAAAAACGUAUAUUGUUAGAAUUAUGUAUCAGAAGAUAUAUACUUAUUGAUUGUGAAAUAGAGUAGUUAGAGCAUUCAUUUAGAGCCAUAUAUGGCUAUGGAGAUAUUGCUAUAUUAUUAUCACUAUAUAUAGGCAUAUCUAUUUAUAACUACAUAGUUAUAAAAAUACAUAUAAGUAAUUACAGUCCUAUAUGUGCAUGCUGCAAUCUCUCUCUAGAGUUAUAGACACUUUCAAAUAUAACUCUAUAGAGAGAUCUGUAUGCAUAUAAGGUGUAAUUAUCUUGUGAUGUGUUUACAUUGGGACUUAGGCCCGUCUGUCUAGAACACACAUAUUUAUAUGUAGGGGCUGGGAGAGACUUGUUCAUAGAUAUCUGCAGAGGGCCAACUGGAAACACUGUAUCUGCCCUCUAGGAAACCAGCUAGGAGAGUUGUGUACUUACGGAGGGAUGGAGUUACAAAAGGUAAAUAGAGCUUAGUGAGCCUUAAGGAGGGGAGGUGAAUGGAGGGUGGGUAGGUGGUGGGCUCCCCCAGGCGGAGACGGGGGAAGCAGCAGGGGCUCCCAGCCUCAGGCCUGCCCGGACGGUGUUGGUUGGAGUGAGUCUCCCCAAAUGUCGUGCCGCCGUCCGUGAUCUCGAGGACCGGUUGGCCUGCGUGCCCCUGGGCUGCUCUUUCACCCGAGGGUCGUUCUGGUUGACAGCAGAACCCCGCAGCCUCAGGGGUUGCCUGGUGGUGUGUGUUUCAAUGCCUCUGCUGUAUGACCCUUUGUUUGUGUGUGUGUGUGUCUCCCAUUCUCCCUUCUCUCUCUGUCUCUCAGUCUCUGUGUGUUUCUUUCCCACUCUCUGUGGGUUUGUGUGUGUGUGCCCGUGUGCUUGUGUGUCUUUGGCUGAAUAUGCCCUGUGAACCACAGAGCUGUCUCUUGCAUGGCGGCCUGUCUUUGUUGAACCUCUUUCUGUGUCUCUGCCUGGGUCAUGAGGCCGGUUGUCAAUCGUUUUCGCCCCCGCGGAUCUGCUUUGGCUGCGUGAAAGCCUGGCCCACGUGAGAAGAUGCGUCGGUCUUGGAGCAAUUGCUGUCUCGUCCCCAUCCUGAGCGUCCUCUUUUCUAGCAUCAAGAGGAACACACUGCAGAUGAGGACAAGAGCCCCACAGGAGCUCUUUGUCCCACAGGAGAUCAGCGGACCCACGUCAGAGAAGAUGUUUGAGUCUUUUCGCGGCUCUUCUCUGAGAAAUGAAGCCACACCACGAUACAGUCAGCAAGAGGAAGCCAGGAAUGAGAGAUGGCAACAAUCCCUGUCCCUGGAACGCUGGCCUCCCUGCACAAGCCACCCUUUAGGAACCCCACCCCUUAUGCCUGUGACGGUGGCAAGGUGCUGUAUCCUGCCUGGGCUCCGGCCUCUGCUCUGUCCUCCCUCUUGCUCUGCCUCCCCUGUUUCUCAGGGACCUGGAUGCCUCUCGCUCUGGCCAAAUGCCUUCAACUAAGAUGACUUCCCACUCCGUCAGGGAGACACUUCCUGGAGACCCGUGUCGUGAUUGUUUGUCUCUCCAAAUGUGUUUCUGCUUGAUUGGGCAGGUCUCAUGGCCCGGGAACACUUGGCUUCCAUAGGUGUCUCAGGCAGGUGUCUUCUCCACGUUUCCCCUCAUGGGUGGGUGGAUUACCUAGAAUGAGCGCUAGGCGACCGUGACUGGCCUUGUCUUCCACGACAGGUGGUGUCGCAUUUCCUCUGCACUUCCUGUCUCAUUCUUGAGGGACAUCCUCUCCUCUGCUCCUGGGUGGACUGAACCCCUUGAUCUUCUGGCCGAAACGAAUGUAAGGGAAACAAAGGGACUGGUCUAGGGCUGGGGGCUGGGGCUGGGGCUCUGUGCAGCCGAAGUUGCGUCAGGGCUGCCAGGGCCUUGGAGGGUUGGGGUUGGGGCGAAUUUUGCAGAAACCUCUUUGCUCCUCCGGUAGGCAUUCGAAAACGUGGCUUGGGUCAGUCACAGGCCCCCCCCACACCCCUCGGGUCCCAGGUGUUUUCGAUUUUCCUUGGCAUUGAUGGAAAUGUCACCUGUUUUCCCCUUCCACCGGCACACGCCUGGACAACACCCUUUGUUUCGCCGUCGCCCCGUAUGCCUCCGGUGACACACGUUAACACCAACUGCUGUGGGAUAGGCCAGGGCCACGCGUAGUCACAUGGUCUCUGCCUCGGGUUUGCUCCUGUUCCUCUUUGCAGGUGUCCUGUAAAGCCCUGUCGGCUUACCGGAGCCCCAGGGCUUUUAGAAGUGGGGCAGGCCACUGCUCUUUCAAAGGAGGAGGGCAUUGAAAAACACACCUCCAGGCAAUCCCUGAGGCUAUGGGGUUCUGCUCUCGAUGAGAACGACCCUCGGGCGAGAGAGCAGCCCAGGGGCAUGCAGGCCGAACUGUCCUAGAGAUCACGGACCGAGGCACGAAUUCUGGGGAGACUCACCCCAACCAACACCAUCCGGGCAGGCCUGAGGCUGGGUUCCUGUGCUGCUUCCCCCGUCUCCGCUGGGCUUUCCUCAUGGUGGUCGGCCCUUUGCGACUCCUGGCAUCUGGAGACAUUCCCGUCGACCCCGUGAAGUUGUUAGGCCGGAGCCUCAGAUCCCCGAAACCCAAGCACGCCAGGGAGGGCUCCUGCUUCGCCAAGCCUCGGAGACUGGUUUCUAAGACAACCGUGGGAACCACUGUGACGGGAGAAGCCGCUCGCGCCUCGCGCAUGCGCAUUGGGUGAGACGAUUUGCGCUCCACUCCUGAGAGAUAGGCUGCGUCCCCUUUAAAUAUCGCCACUGCCGCGCGGCGGCCGCGAUGCUCCUGCUGCCGCCGCGGCGGCGGCUGGAUCCUGGGUCCUGUUUGGGGUGGCGUGGGAGAGGGGGCCGCGGGUGUCUCGUCCUGUCCCAGGCCCAAACCCCCAGGAGUCCUGUCCUCAGGACCUCCUUGAGCCGACUUCCACUGAGGGAGGGGGAGCUUCAGGACGCCUGCUGUGUUCUCCGGACUCCCGUUGAGAUCCGAUUUUGGCCCCCUCCCAGUGAGAUAGGAUGGGCUCACCACAUCUGGUGAGGCAGACAGGGCCUCGCUGUAGCACAGAAUGAUCCCGUAGGUCUCAAGGCCUGGUGUCAGCUGCAAAUUCACUGAUCCAUCAGCCCUCUGCCUCCCUCCUCCUUUGAAAGAGCAGUGGCCUGCCCCGCUUCUAAAAGCCCUGGGGCUCCGGAAAGCCGACCGCGCUUUAUGGGACUGGUAGAAAGAGGAUCAGGGGUGAAUCCGAGAUGGAGACCAUGUGACCACGCGUGGCACUGGUGUAUCCCACAGCAGAUGGUGUGAAUGUGUGUCACCGGAGGCAUACAUUGUGAUGGCGAAACCAACAAUGGUGUCCAGGAAUGUGCCCGGUCGAAGGGGGGAAUGAGUGACCUUUCCAUCAAUGCCAAGGAAAAUCAAAGAACACCUGGGAACGAGGAGGGUGCCUGUGCCUUAGUCCAAGCCACAUUUUGAAAUGCCUGCCAGAGGAUUAAAGAGGUUUUGGCAAAAUUCACCCCACCCCCAACCCUCCAUGGCCCAGGUAGCCCUGACCCAACCUCCCCUGCAACCAGCCGCAGACCCAGCCCCAGCCCCAGCCCAGUCCCUUUGGUUCCUUUCCCCGACAUUCGUUAUGGUCAAAAGAUCCAGAGACUCAGUCCACCCAGGAGCAGAGGAGAGGAUGUCUCUCACGAAUGAGACAUGAAGUGCAGAGGAAAUGCGACACCACCUGUCCUAGAAGACAAGGUCUGUCACGGUCGACUAGCGCUCAUUCCAGGCAAUCCACCCACCCAUGAGGUGAAACACGGAGAGGAAGGAAGCUUCCCUGUCUGAGAGAAGUAUGGAAGCCAAGAGCUCCAGGGUCGUCUAUCCUGCCCCAUCAAGCAGAAACAGGUUGAAAGAGAUAAACGAUCACGACAGGGAUCUCCAGUAAGUGUCUACCUGACGGACUGGGUUGUGAUCAUUGUUGAAGACAUUCAGCGAGAGCGAGAGGCAUCUAGGCCCCUCAGAAACAGGGGAGACAGAGCAAGAGGCAGGACAAAGCAGAGGCCAAAGCCCAGGCAGGAUACAGCACUGUGCCACUGCCACGGCCAUGAGGGGAGGGGUACCAAAAAGGUGGCUUUUCCAGAAAGGCCAGCGUUCCAGUGACUAUCUGUGAAAAUGCUUUGUGAUGCGUGGGUUAUCCCUCAGAGUUAAACAUUUGUUUUGACUUAGCAGUUUGGAAACACUCUUUUUUAAGAAUCAAUGAAGGGAUAUUUUGAAGCCCAUGGAUGAGUAUAUUGAGAAACUAAAUAUCCCACCAUAGAAACUAGCAAGAAAUUAUUAGUGAAAAUGCUCUGUGAUGUGUGGAUUCAUCUCACAGAGUUAGACUUUUGUUUUUAUUCUGCAGGUUUCAAACACUUUUUUGUGGAAUCUACAAAGGAACAUUUCAGAGCCCACAGAGGCCUAUAGUGAAAACUGAAUAUCUUGUGAUAAAAGCUAGAAACAAGCUAUCUGUGAAAAUGUUUGUGAUGUGUGGAUUUAUCUCAUAGAGUUAUACCUAUGUUUAUAUACAGCAGGUUGGAAACACUCUUUUAGUAGAAUUUAAAAUAAGAAAUUUCUGAGUCCUUGAGGCCUAUUAUAAAGAAAUGAAUAUCCCUGAUAAAAACUGACAACAAAUUAUCUGUGAAAAUGCUUUGAGAUAUGUGGAUUCAUCUCGCAAAGUUAAACCCUUGUUUUGGUUCAGAAGGUUGAAAAUACUCUUUUUGUAAUAUCUAUGAAGGGAUAUUUUGGAGCCCAUAGAGGCCUAUACUAAAAACCAAAUAUCCCAGGAUAAAAACUAGAAACAAGGUAUGUGAGAAAAUGUUUUGCAAUGUGUAGAAUCAUCUCACAGAGUUAAACCUUGUUUUGAUUGGGCAGGUUGGAAACAUUCUUUUUGUAGAAUAAAAGAAGGGACAUUUUGGAGCUCAUUGAGGCCUAUAGUGAAAAACCACAUAUGCCAUGAUAAAAACUAGAACAAGCUAUCUGUAAAAAUCUUUUGCAAUGUGUGGUUUCAUCUCACAGAGUUUAACCUUUAUUUUGACUUAGCGCUUUGGAAACACUAUUUUUCUAGAAUCUGCAAGGGUACAUUUCAAACCCAAUGAGGCCUGUAGUAAAAAACUGAAUAUCCCACGAUGAAAACUAGAAACUAGCUAUCUGUGAAAAUGCUUUGAGAUGUGUGGAUUCAUCUAAUGGAGUUGAAUGUUAGUUUUGAUUCAGCAGGUUGGAAACUUAGCAGUUUGGAAACAUUCAUUUUGUAGAAUCAAAGAGGGGACUUUUCUUAGCCCCCUGAGGCCUAUAGUGAAAAAUCAAAUAUCCCGUGAUAAAAACUAGAAACAAGUUAUCUGUAAAAAUGCUUUGCAAUUUGUGGAUUUGUCUCACAAUGUUAAACCUUUGUUUUGAUUUAGUAGGUUGGAAACUCUCUUUUUGUACAAUUGAUGAGGAGAUAUUUCAAAGCCCAUUGAUUGAGGCUUGUAGUGAAAAACCUAAAAUCCUAAUAAACACUAUAAAGAAGCUGUCUCUGAAAAUGCUUUGAGAUGUGUGAUUUCAACUUAUAGAGUUAAAUCUUUCUUUUUAUUCAGCAGGUUGGAAACAUUCUUAUUGUAGAAUAUACGACAGGACAUUUCAGAGCAAAUUGAGGCCUGUAGUGAAAAACAGAAUAUAUUGUGAUAAAAGCUAGAAACAAGGUAUCUGUAAAAAUGCUUUGUGAUGUGUAGUUUUAUCAUACAAAGUUAAACCCUUGUAUUGCAUCAGCAGGUUGGAAACUCUCUGCUUGUAGAAUAUAUGAGAGGUCAAUUUGGAGCCCAUAUUGGCAGGUAGUGAAAAACCAAUAUCCCAUGAUAAAAACUAGAAAAAAGCUAUCUGUGAAAAAGCUUUCUGAUGUCUGGAUUCAUCACACAGAGUUAAAUCUUUGUUUUGAUUCAGGAGGUUGAAAACACUGUUCCUGGAAAAUCUAUGGAAGGCGGGUUGGAAAUACUUUUUUUUAGUAGAACCUAUGAAGAGACACUUUGGAGCCCAUUGAGGACUGUAGCAAAAAUACAAAUGUCCCAUGAUGAAAACUAGAAAAAGUUUUAUGUGAAAAUGCUUUGCAAUGAGUGGAUUCAUAUCACAAGGUUAAAGCUUUGUUUUGAUUUAGCAGAUUGGAAGCACUAUUUAUGGAGAAUCUACAAAGGGACAUUUUAUAGCCCAUUGAGGUCUCUUUUAAAAAAUCGAAUGUCCCACAAUGAAAACUAGUUAUAAGCUAUCUGUGAAAAUGCUUUGUGAUGUACAGAUGCUUCUCCCAGAGUUAAACCUUUGUUUUUAUUCUGCAGGUUGCAGACAGUCUAAUUCUGGAAUGUGUUAAAAGACAUUUCAAGGCCCAUUGAGAACUACAAUAAAAAACAAAUAUUCCUUGAUAAAAACUAGAAAAAUCUAUCAGUGAAAAUCCUUUGUGUUGUGUGGAUUCAACUGAGAGUUAAAAUUGUUUUGAUUCAGCAGGUUGGAAAAACUCUUUUUUAGAAUCUAUGAAGUGACAUUUCACAGCCCAUAGAGGCCUAUAGUUGUAAAACCAAAUAUUCUGCUAUAAAAACAGGAAACAAGCUAUCUGUCACAAAGUUAAACCUUUGUUUUAUUACAGCAAGUCGAAAACAAUCUUUUUGAAGAACAUUCAGAGGAAUAUUUUGAAGCCAAUUGAGGCCUGCAGUGGAAAACCAAAUAUCUUAUCAUAAAAACUUGAAAGAAGUUAUCUCUGAAAAUGCUUUGUGAUGUGUUCAUUCGUCUGACAGAGAUAAACCUUUAUUUUGAUUCAGCAGGUUGGAAACACUCUUUUUGUAGAAUCUGGGAAGGAACAUUUCUGAGCCCAUUGAGGCCUAUAGAGAAAAAUCUAAUAUCCUGUGAUAAAAUCUAGAAACAAAAUAUCUGUGAAAAUGUUUUAUGAUGUGGGAAUUCAUCUAUCAGAGAUAAAACUUUUUUUGAUUCAGCAGGUUGGAAAAACUCUUUGUAGAAUCUAUAAAGGGAUAUUUCAGAACCCAUUGAGGCCUACUGUGGAAAAUUGAAUAUUCUGCAAUAAAAUCUAGAAACAAGCUAUCUGUGUAAAUGCUUUGCCAUGUGUGGGUUCAUCUUACAGAGUUAAACCUUUGUUUUUAUUCAGCAGGUUGAAAACAUUCUUUUAAUAGAAUCUACAAAGGGACGUUUCAAAGUACAUUGAAGGUUAUACUGAAAAACCUAAUACCAGUGAUUAAAACUAGAAGCAAGCUAUCUGUGAAAAUGCUUUCUGAUAUAUGGAUUUGUUUCACAAACUUAAACCUUUGUUUUGAUUCAGCAGGUUGGCAACACUCUUUUUGUACAACCUAUGAAGGGACAUUUUGGAGCUCACUGAGGCCUAUAGUGAAAAAAUGAAUAUUUCAAAAUAAAAACUAGAAACAAGCAAUAUUUGAAAAUGGUUGGUGGUGUGUGGAUUCAUCUCACAGAGGUAAACCUUUAUAUUGAUUCAGCACACUGGAAACACUCUUUUUAAAGAAUCUACAAAGGAACAUUUUGGAACCCAUUGACAAGUAUAUUGAAAAAGUGAAUAUGCCACGAUACAUACUAGCAACAAUCUAUUAGUGAAAGUGCUUUGUGAUGUGCGGAUUCAUCUCACAAAGUUUAACCUUUAUUAUCAUUCGGUAGGUUGAGAACACUCUUUAUAUAGCAUAUACAAAAAAAAAGAUAUUUUUGUGAACAUUGAGGACUAAAGUAAAACACGAAAUAUUUCACAGUAAAAACUAAAAACUGUCUAUCUGUGAAAAUGCUUUGUGAAGUGUGGAUUUAUCUCACAGAGUUAAACCUUUGUUUUGAUUCAACAGGAUGAAAACACCUUUUUUGUAGAAUCUAUGAAGGGACAUUUCAGAGCCUAUUGUGGACUAUACUGAAAAACCUAAUAUCCCGGCAUAAAAACUAAAAAGAAGCUAUCUUUGCAAAUGAUUUGCGAUGUGUGGAUUCAUCUUACAGAGAUAAACCUUUUUGUAUCAGUUAAACCUUUUUUUUUAUUCCCUGCAAGUUGGAGUCCUCCCACCUGACCACAGGGCCAUGUUGUGGACAGCUUGUGCAAUGAAGGGAAUGCAAGGAUGGAGUUGGAAGCACUUCCUGUGUCAUCUGGCUGCACCUUUUUUUGCAGAUGAAGGUGCAGGACCCCAUCCACACCUCAGCAGACUGUAUGCUCACCCGUAUCUGACCUUAUUGCUGCUCACAAUCCUAGUUCUGGAAUGAAAUCCCAAGAUGUUGGAGGAGUGCUCCUUUCAUGACGUGAAGCACCUGCUUGGCUGCAAACCAAAUUCGAAUUGGAUUUAAGCGGCCUGUGGACAGGACUGCUAGGGUCCUGUCCUGGGUUGGCCACAGGACAAUGAGGCCCGGACAGGUGUCUUCUCCUGAGAGUGGUGUGCUCCUCUUCUUUCUAGAAGAGUGGCUCCUUUUUAUGAGGAGGUGAUUUGUACACCUGUGAGUCUCAACCAUCCCCCCCAACUCACCGUGGACUCAGGAAGCACAGAAAAACAAAGAACAUGCAGCCCCAUAGGCCAAGCAGAGCCACACAGACAGGUGCACCAGAAGGUGAAGGGACUCAAAAAAAAAAAAGCGCUGCAGUGCAUUAAACAUAUUCCUUUUAGCAGAUGUCCCCCCCCCCACACACAGACACACACAAACACACAUACAGCCACACACACACAUGCAGACAUUCAAACACUCACAACACUCCCACAGAAACACACAGACUGACAGCUCCUGAGGCUGCACGGUUCUGCAGAAAGCCCCUUCUGAGAGAGAGCAGCCCUGGAAAACAGAGGCGGGCUGUACUUAGAAAUCACAGGGAGGGAAGUUUCAAAAAGACUCACUCCCACACCGCCUAGGCAGGCCUGACCCAUCGUGGGUAUCCUUUUGGAUCCUUAGGGAUUUUGUGGUUUAUUCCUGGGGCUCCACUUGAUGUGUCUUCAGGCUGGCUCGCCACUGCCCACUCCUAGGAUUGUGGGAAUAUCCCAUAGAGCCCUCAAAGUAGACAGGUGAUAGUUCAAUGCCGACACACAGCCACAGAGGACUCCUUCUCCACCAAGAUGAAGGGACUUAUCACUAGGCAAUGGUGGCAUUCACUGUGAUGUGAGCCGCUGCUCACCACUGGUGCCUGGUGGCCUGACUGUCACAUGCGCAUUCACAAAGCAGGCUCAGGCACCUGGCUGUCAGGGCUGUAAGCCUGGCAAAGCUCAGGAAAAUGGUACAGCCAGAGCUGGCCUAGUUUCCAGAAAAAGGCUGCCUGCAGCAACCAACUGCUGCAUGCUAAUAGUCUCCAACAUAGGGCCUUCAUGAGCCAUCUCCGUGGUAGGGUCCCACAGGAGAAGGAGGAGUUUGAAGACUGUGAGGUGGGCUCUGGAGACUGCUCUUCUGACUCCAUUCCCAAAAGAGGCUGUGUGCAUGAAUUCGGUCUCCUGGGGAUGGGAAUAAAGUCUGGUGAGUUGUUAAGAGGUCUCUGGGUGAUGGAAUAAUAUCUGAGAUCCAAGAGGCAGGUGUCAGUGGAAGAUGGCCAGGCCCUUGAACCCCCUGCCUUUCUUCAUCCCGGGCCUCACAGGGGCUCCUGCUUCUCAGCAUGGCUCUCUGGUAAAGGCAGGAACCAUGACAAAGGCAAGUCCAAGGUGGAGCACUGUUCUCACACCUAAAACAGGCCUCUUGCAGGUGCACAUGAGGUUAAGAGAGUGUCUCAGAGGAUGUCUGGGGCAUUUUGAAACCUGAAAAUAACAUCCAGGAGUGCUGUUGAUGGGCACUGUGGACCCCCCAUGAAAGCAAAGAAAAGUCAAGGUUCUCCUGGGAGAAUGAGCAGACUUGUGCAGGAGUCCAAGCCAUGUUCAAGGUUUCCUGCCAGAGAACUUAAAAGCCUCCUGCAAAGUGUAAACAAUGCCAGCCACCAUUAUGAGACCACUACCCACAACUUGGUGUGUGGCCAGCCUACCCAAAAUACCUUUUGCUUUCUGAUAUACCUGGCAACCAAAAUAUCCACAAUGAGUCAGUCCCACCCACCAACAGCCCAAUGAAAUACCCCAUCCACAAUGAGAAAGGAAGUGCAGAUGACAUGAAACAGAGCCUAGAUUGCCAGGUAAAAGCCAGACACAGCUGCCUGUUUCUCAUCCUACAGGAGUCAUGCAGCUGUCCUUUAGAAGUGGGAGAACAAGUUAUCUUGAUGGUGGAUAUAAUCGAAAUUUAUGAUUCCAAAAGUAUCACAACUGCCCAGUAAUUAAAAUGUGACAGUGUUUAUAAGAAAACACUCAUGCGAUGGAUUCCCAUGAGAAUUAUCCUCCAUGAACUGGGAAACUUUUAGUGUGGAAGACUUUGAGCCAGACCCAGAAAAACCCCAGGUUCAUGAGGAACAUGGAAGUCAGACUGAGCCAGACCUAGGAAACUCUAGGCCCAUAAGGAACAUGGAAGUCAGGAAAAUAGGUUGCCAGUGUGGAGGCCACAUCCAACCCAGCAUCAGUCCAUCUCACUCCAAUGUGGCUCUGGGAAUGGAAGCUCAAUUCUGGAGCUGGCCAGAAGGGCCCCAUUUUGCAAUCCAACUUUUCCCUGCACGAUUGAGUCAUCCCACCUGGGCACCAGGCCAUGCUGUUGACUGUGCAAUGAACGGAAUGAGGGGAUGCAGUUGGAAGCAACUUCUGUGUCAUCUGUCUGAACCUUUUUUGCAGGUGAAGGUGCGAGAUCUCAUCCACACCUCAACAGACUGUAUCCUCACCCCUAUCUGACCUUAUUGUUGCUCACACUCUGUGUCCCACAAUAAAAUUCUGAGACAAUGGAGGAGUGCCUCCCUGAUGACCUGAAGCACCUGCUCAGCUACAAACAAAAAUCGAGGUAAAUUCAAGAAGCCCUGUGACUGGACUGCUGGGGUCUGGCCCUGGGUUGGCCACAGAACAAUAAAGCAUGGGGAGUUGUCUGUUUUGGGGUGUGGUGUGCUUCUCUUCUUUGUAGAAAUGUGGCUUUUUGGCAAGGGGAGGUGAUUUUGAACCUGGCAGUUGUCAGCCAUUCUUCCAAUUCACUGUGGAUUCAGGAGCCAUGGAAAAAUGAAGAACAUGGAGAACUUCAGCCCAAGCAGAACCACAGAGACAGGCCACCGGAAGAUGGGGUGACAAAAACAGUGCUGCAGUGUGUUAGCCACAUUUCUUUCAGCAGACUCCACUUACC